rnacentral:rRNA from 1 species
UACGAAGGGGGCUAGCGUUGUUCGGAAUCACUGGGCGUAAAGCGCACGUAGGCGGAUCUUUAAGUCAGGGGUGGAAUCCCGAGGCUCAACCUCGGAACUGCCUUUGAUACUGGGGAUCUCGAGUCCGGGAGAGGUGAGUGGAACUGCGAGUGUAGAGGUGAAAUUCGUAGAUAUUCGCAAGAACACCAGUGGCGAAGGCGGCUCACUGGCCCGGUACUGACGCUGAGGUGCGAAAGCGUGGGGAGCAAACAGG